rnacentral:lncRNA from 1 species
AUUUUUGAAGUCAAUGAAACCAAGAACCCACCAAUUCUGGACACACCAGGACAUUCUCUAUUUUUAUUUGCUGAAACUGGCAACACUAAGUGCGGGGCACCAGACACUGCUGUGGCUCAGGCAUCUCGCUAUGGAUAAGUGGUUCAUCUUUCAGCCUGGGGAAGCAGCCAGAUCUGGAACACCUCCAGCAAUUGCCAUAUCCUUCAGCUUCAGAAGGCCGCCAGCAGGGGUCAGUUGUUGGCUGUUUGAGAGGCUUCCAGCUUUUUGGCUAUUAUAAAUAAUGCUGCCACGAUCAUUCACAUCUUUGGUGGACAUCAGUUUUCAUUCCUCUCAAGUAAAUGCCUAGGAUGGAAUUGCUACGUUGUGUGUGAACCACUAAUCACAUGAGAGGUGUGCCAUAAAACAAAGCUUUCAAGAUCAUGGGCUUCCAAUGCAUUGCUUGAUUUUCUGUGGGAGGAAAGUGCUUUUGAAGUUCCAAAUCCAAUCCCUGAAGCAAGAUUAAUAAUCAAAGAUCCUCUCCAGUGUGCAAAUCCUCAUGGGAUUUAGGUGGAUUGCUACAGCCUAGUCCCGAGGCAUGUGGCACACCUGUACGUUGCCACAAAUAGUUCAGAAAUAACACCAGUUCAUGUCUACAACAAGGCCUUUGAACUUGAGUAUUCUCUUUCUGGUAUUCAAUGCUGGAGCUGCAGUGAGAGCGUGCAGUUCCCUAAAUUUUGCCCCCGAGGAACCUUACUUGUCUCACCAUAAUCUCAGUUCAUUUGAACACUUCUCCAGAUACUCUGUAGGAAUACAACGGAGUUAGCUUGUUUCAAGGGAGAGUUUUUUUAUUGGGAAGAUGACCUAACUGGCUAAGUCCAAGUUUGUGGAAACAACAUAUCUGAGGAAUCCGAAUCAGAUCAAUGAAAUAGAGUUUCUAGCAGCUGCACUGUGAAUAACGUCCUGAAAGAUGCUGCUGCUGGAACUCGAUUCCACAGCUAUGGGUGUUUGUUGGAAGGCACCCAAAAGGGAUUCCAAGGGCCCUGCCUCUACUGACUGCCGUUUAUUCUUAAAGCACUAGGCUCAACAGUUGAGCUUUGUGUGGUAUUGAGUGGGUUUUAUGAUUACUUGUUUGCCAUUGUUAGUGUCAGCCUGUCAACACCUUGAAGGGCAGAGCAUUUUUGUUUGUUUUGAAAAUUACUCAAUAGCAAAUCCUUAAUUAUACAGCAGUAUGGCUUUUUGAAAGGUUGAGUGAUGUACUGCUGUUGUUUUAGAUUUCUUUCAUGCUAAAUCUUAUGAGGUGCAUAGCCUUCAAUAACUAAAUGCAAAUAAUGCAAUCGAAUCCCACUUGAGCCUGCCAUUAAUUAUCUCACAUUUAUCUUCAUUUCCAGGCUGGUGAUAUGGGCCAGCAUUCAAGACAACUAGAAAAAAUAUCCAGUAAAGGUUUUGAAGUUCCUUUAUGUGCAGGGAUUUAUGAUACACAGACACGUGUGAACCAUACACACAUACAUGCAUGUAUACACACAUACAUGCAUGUAUGCACA